rnacentral:rRNA from 1 species
GACGAACGCUGGCGGCGUGCUUAACACAUGCAAGUCGAACGGAGUUGAGGAGCUUGCUCCUUAACUUAGUGGCGAACGGGUGAGUAACGCGUGAGGAACCUGCCUUUCAGUGGGGGACAACAGUUGGAAACGACUGCUAAUACCGCAUGAUACUAUUGGGCCGCAUGGUCUGGUAGUCAAAGAUUUAUUGCUGAAAGAUGGCCUCGCGUCUGAUUAGCUAGUUGGUGGGGUAACGGCUCACCAAGGCGACGAUCAGUAGCCGGUCUGAGAGGAUGAACGGCCACAUUGGGACUGAGAUACGGCCCAG